UCCAGGUGACCUUCGAACCCAGAUGUCUCACAUGUAUGUAGAGGCGCACACAAGCACACGCACAUAUAUUUAUGACUGCAUGUUUCUCUGUGGAGAGACAGUUCCUAGUGCUUAAUCAAAUCAGGAACUCAAAAGAAGUUCGGAAGCACUGCUAGUGUUUUGGGUGCUUUCGGUUACCAUUUGGUCAGAUGUGUGUGGAGACCUGUGGGAACGGGUAUAAAAUUGGACACAAGGAAACAUUUAAAUUUGGAUAAUAAGUUAAUUUAUUAACUGUUUUUUUUUUGGUGGUGGUGGGGGCUCUGUCUUCUGUAUCUCUCUAGGUGGCUGUAAAUGGAAAACAUACUCUGCUCUAUGGCCACAGGAUCGGCCCAGAGAAAAUAGACACUCUGGGCAUUUAUGGCACAGUGAAUAUUCACUCAAUUGGUUUUAGCUUCAGCUCGGAUUUACAAAGUACCCAAGCAUCUGGUCUGGAACUGACAGAGAUAAGUAGAGAAAAUGUUCCAAAGUCUGGCGCGCCCCAGCUUAGCCUGCCAUUCGCUGCAAGGUUGAACACCCCCAUGGGCCCUGGACGAACUGUCGUCAUUAAAGGAGAAGUGAAUGCAAAUGCCAAAAGCUUUAAUGUUGACCUACUAGCAGGAAAAUCAAAGGAUAUUGCUCUACACUUGAACCCACGCCUGAAUAUUAAAGCAUUUGUAAGAAAUUCUUUUCUUCAGGAGUCCUGGGGAGAAGAAGAGAGAAAUAUUACCUCUUUCCCAUUUAGUCCUGGGAUGUACUUUGAGAUGAUAAUUUAUUGUGAUGUUAGAGAAUUCAAGGUUGCAGUAAAUGGCGUACACAGCCUGGAGUACAAACACAGAUUUAAAGAGCUCAGCAGUAUUGACACGCUGGAAAUUAAUGGAGACAUCCACUUACUGGAAGUAAGGAGCUGGUAGCCUACCUACACAGCUGCUACAAAAACCGAAAUACAGAAUGGCUUCUGUGAUACUGGCCUUGCUGAAACGCAUCUCACUGUCAUUCUAUUGUUUAUACUGUUAAAAUGAGCUUGUGCACC
rnacentral:sRNA from 1 species